rnacentral:rRNA from 1 species
CUUGGUCAUUUAGAGGAAGUAAAAGUCGUAACAAGGUUUCCGUAGGUGAACCUGCGGAAGGAUCAUUAAAGAUUCACGGCUGUGCGCUUCGGCUGCACGUCGUAUAAACCUCACACACAUCGUGCACAACCUCGGUCGCGGUCUUAAUCGACCGCCUCCGCCUUUCACAUGCAACAAGCAGUCCAGAAUGUAAAAACCAUAACAAAAUACAACUUUCAACAACGGAUCUCUUGGCUCUCGCAUCGAUGAAGAACGCAGCGAAAUGCGAUAAGUAAUGUGAAUUGCAGAAUUCAGUGAAUCAUCGAAUCUUUGAACGCAUCUUGCGCUCCUUGGUAUUCCAUGGAGCAUGCCUGUUUGAGUGUCACGUAAACCCUCACACCUGCGAUGUCAAAAUCGUGGGUCGUGGAUUUGGAUCGUGCCGUAAUUGGCUCGUCCUGAAAUGCAUUAGCUUGUGCUCGUUAGAGUGCUCGGCAUGGUGUGAUAAUUAUCUGCGCCGUUAUGCCUUAGGCCUCUUCUGUGUGCGCUGCUUCCAAUCGUCCCUCGUGGACAACAUUACAUUUAAAGCUUUGGCCUCAAAUCAGGUAGGACUACCCGCUGAACUUAAGCAUAUCAAUAAGCGGAGGAAAAGAAACUAACAAGGAUUCCCCUAGUAACGGCGAGUGAAGCGGGAAGAGCUCAAAUUUGAAAUCUGGCGGUCUCAGGCCGUCCGAGUUGUAAUCUAGAGAGGUGUUUUCCGUGCUGGACCGUGUACAAGUCUCCUG